GGCUCUGUAGCUCAGUUGGUUAGAGCGAUCGGUUCAUACCCGAUAGGUCACGAGUUCGACCCUCGUUGGAGCCA
rnacentral:tRNA from 1 species